UUGCUAAGUAGGCUGAGAUUGA
rnacentral:miRNA from 1 species